CGAGUCCGAGUCUCCACGGAGACGAAGUGGCGGUCAUCCAGCUUCCUAGAAAAGCUCUAACCACGUUAAUCUUUAGUUGCCUGUACCCGAAACCGACACAGGUAGGGGGGUAGAGAAUACCAAGGGGCGCGAGAUAACUCUCUCUAAGGAACUCGGCAAAAUGACCCCGUAACUUCGGGAGAAGGGGUACCACUGAGAAGUGGUCGCAGUGAAGAGGCCCAGGCGACUGUUUACCAAAAACACAGGUCUCCGCCAAGUCGCAAGACGAAGUAUGGGGGCUGACGCCUGCCCAGUGCCGGAAGGUUAAGGAAGUGGGUUAGGGAUUCGUCCCGAAGCUGACGACUGAAGCCCCGGUGAACGGCGGCCGUAACUAUAACGGUCCUAAGGUAGCGAAAUUCCUUGUCGGGUAAGUUCCGACCCGCACGAAAGGCGUAACGAUCUGGGCGCUGUCUCGGAGAGAGGCUCGGCGAAAUAGGAAUGUCUGUGAAGAUACGGACUACCUGCACCUGGACAGAAAGACCCUAUGAAGCUUUACUGUAGCUUGGAAUUGGGUUCGGGCUUGGUUUGCGCAGGAUAGGUGGGAGGCGAAGAAGAUUUGCUUGUGGGUGUAUCUGAGCCAACGGUGAGAUACCACUCUAACCAGGCUAGAAUUCUAACUUCAACCCGUCAACCGGGGGAAGGACAGUUUCAGGUGGGCAGUUUGACUGGGGCGGUCGCCUCCUAAAAGAUAACGGAGGCGCACAAAGGUUCCCUCAGGCUGGUUGGAAAUCAGCCAACGAGUGCAAAGGCAGAAGGGAGCUUGACUGCGAGACCUACAAGUCAAGCAGGGUGGAAACACGGUCUUAGUGAUCCGACGGCACCGAGUGGAAGGGCCGUCGCUCAACGGAUAAAAGUUACUCUAGGAUAACAGGCUGAUCUCCCCCAAGAGUUCACAUCGACGGGGAGGUUUGGCACCUCGAUGUCGGCUCAUCGCAACCUGGGGCGGAGGUACGUCCCAAGGGUUGGGCUGUUCGCCCAUUAAAGCGGUACGUGAGCUGGGUUCAGAACGUCGUGAGACAGUUCGGUCCAUAUCCGGUGUAGGCGCAAGAACAUUGAGAGGAGUCUUCCUUAGUACGAGAGGACCGGGAAGAACGCACCGCUGGUGUACCUGUUAUCGUGCCAACGGUAAACGCAGGGUAGCCAAGUGCGGAGUGGAUAACCGCUGAAAGCAUCUAAGUGGGAAGCCCACCUCAAGAUGAGUGUUCUCAUGGAGUAAUCCAGUAAGGUCACGGGAAGACGACCCGUUGAUAGGCGGUAGGUGGAAGUUCAGCAAUGGAUGAAGCCGAGCCGUACUAACAGACCGAGGGCUUGAC
rnacentral:rRNA from 1 species